ensembl:lncRNA novel transcript
GGGAGAGGUGGCGCGUUGCCUGGGUGCUCAUGGACACCAGGUCUGCUCCCCAUGCACUUGUCGUCUGUGCCACGCUGCAGGGGCCAGGCAGCCACAGGCAUCGUUUGGGCCCCGAGCUGGCCAGGCUGGAGUCAGGGCCCACUAAGCCGCAGGUGCCUCUUGCUUGGGGGUGGGGGCUGAAGGGUGUCUUCCUGCCGUGGAGCUAUAGCUGGUGCCUGGUUCCCUCUGUCCAGACACAGCUCUGGGCUUGCAGCCUCUGCCUCCCUGAUGGGACAGCAACCCUGGGCAUCGCUAGAGGCUCUGAGGUCUGCACGGGGCACCAUCCCGUAUUCUGCAGGGUCCAGAGACACAGAGAGGGAGGCCAGCCCAGCACCAUUGUGGGAGAAAGGCCAGUGAUGUCAUCAGGGGGCUAAGGCUGGCAGCCACCUUCUAGUGGACAUUACUGCUGAGAACUGGCCAGGUGCCUGCACUCGCUGCCAUGAGUAAUUGCCCAGUGGCCCGUGAGGUGCUGGCAGCUCCUCCAUUUACAAGUUAGGAGACAGGUACAGAGAGACCAGGUGGCCUGUUCCAGCAGCACUGCUCUGGCUCUUGACCACCACCACAUCAGCAGCAAAACCGCCAGGGCUGAAAUCAAUACAGAUUUAUCCAUUCUCACCAGGCUGCGGGCGCCUUGCAGGUCUGUGCUCCUAGCUGGGGGCCCAGAGAGACUCUGCUUCCAGGACUGCCCGAGUGUGGAAGGAACCCAGCUGCCAGCUGCAGGACUGAGGUCCCAUCUCCUCCCUGGCCUCGCACAGGCCCUCCUGCCUGCCAAGCAGCAAGUGAUGCCGCACCUCAGUCUCUCCCUCUGCUCUCCAGUUCCCUGGACCCCCAGCCCAAGCUCCGGUGAUUACCAGGUAAUUCCUGUCCCAAGACAGCCGCGCCGAGUGUCCUAACACAGUUGCCACACGGCUCCAUGUCCUGUGCACAGGCCAGGGGUUCGAGUGGGCAUCAGCAAUGCUCACUUCAGAGCCCCUCCGCCACGACGUGGCCAUGUGCACACAGCUCCGUGGCCAGCGCUGGAAACUGCGUCUCCUGCCUCCAGCUGCGUUACUUGGAGAAGCAGGAACCUCUCCAUCCUCACUUUCCAUCCGCACAUCCAGGGCCGCCCACGUGCACCCACACCGUGCGCUCACUGUGUGGCCUGUCGAGAACACAGUGUCCUCUGCCCCUGAUUUCCCAGGAGAGUCGCACGUCUGUGAUGGUGGUCUCCCAGGCACGCAUGGCCAUGGAGCACGGGAACGUGUGCGCCUGCUGGGAGCACAUGGGAAGACUGCACGCCGGGUGCUGAGGCUUCCUGUGAAAAAAAGAACCUGAAACAAGUCUUCCUGAGACCCAGGCUGGUGUGGACACAAGGAAGCCCCGCCGGAGGGCCCUCUUUACAUGGGGAGGCCUGAACCCUGAGCAGUCAAGGAAGUUUUGGAAGUGAGUAGCUAUGGCUUCUCCACCUGCUCCUGCCUGGACGGCGCCCUUCAGAACUCAAGCCCAUCCAUGAGACAGCACCCACCGGGGCCAGUGAGUCACUCCAUGAAGGCCAAAGAUCACCUGGACACGAGUCUCGGGGUAACCAGCCCCCCUGCAGACCUGCAGAAGCUUGGACAGCAAGUGGGAGUCAGCAGUCAGGAAACUCGGGGGCUUUGCACCUGGAGGGAAGCCCACCUGAUAUGAAAAUGCUUUCGAAGCUUGUGGAUCGGAGAGGCCAGUGGUGUACCGGGUGGUCCAAUCGAUCAGUCAGGACGAUCAUCAGCCCCAUUUCUCAGGUGCAGUACAGCACGUCCACGUCCUCCCGACACCGUGAGUGCGGCCACACCGAAGCCAGGGGAGCAGGUGCGCUUCUCCAUAGGUCCUGGUUUAAAGCAAGCGGAAACACCACAGGCUCGGGAUUGAGGUGGUAAGGGACGUCCAGUCCUCAGGUGAGGUUAAGUCCUUCUACAGAGACAGCACUGGGGGGACCUCACAGUGCCCCCCGGGAAGCGCUGUUUGGGCAGGCUGCAGGAGCUGAGGCCAGAGUCCUGGCACGGGGCUACGGGGCCCUUGGUGUCUUUCACUGCUGUGACGGGGGCUCCCUGCUGCCCCGGCACCUGCGGGCCUUGGCCAGUCCCGAACACCAGGUUGUGGCAGUGGAGACCUGGGGGGUGGCCAGCGGCCCCCUAUGGAGGUUCUGCCGUGCGUGUCAGGGCCCCAGGCAGGGCUGUGCAGCGCCAGCCUCACUAUCAGUGUGGACACACAUCUGUGGGAGGGGCUCUCGUUUUCCCCACCUUCCGGUGAGGGAACCAAGGCAGACUCAGCACCAAGCAGGGGUCAGGCCCUGGUGGAGGUGGAUUUUCUUCACUGUGGCACAGUCCUGCUCAGUUUCUAGUCCUGAUGGAGGUGGUGGAGGCCCUGGUGGAGGUGGAUUUUCUUCACCGUGGCACAGUCCUGCUCAGUCCCUGGACUGCCCCCCUGCACCCAGCAGCACAGGCCGCAGAGCCCAGGAGAUGUGGGCAGGAGCUUUCCCCUCGCCUGCCCCACUCCUGCCCACCCAGUGGGCACCCCGUAGAUGGGAGCAGCUCUCCGUCUAGCACUUGGACUGCUGGGCUGAGUCAUGGCUGCAGGCAACGGCUUAGUGGCAUCUCCCAGGUGCCACUGCAGGGAUAGCCUCUGUGUCUCCAGGCUCUGCUGUGGCCCCGCGGAGCCAAGCUUACCCAUGCCGCUGAGUCGGGGGCUGCAGAGGCCUGUGCGGGCUGCGGUGGCUAGACCUGGGCCUGGCUGCUCAGAUGCUGCUGGAACCCUGCUCUCAGCCUGGAGGCUGGCAGGUCUGCCAGGGGCCAACGGGCAGGCAUCGCCCGUCUGAAGCUCUUUGCCUCUGAAGGAGCUUCAGCGCCAGCCAGGGGCAGUUUAUGAGAAAUUCAGAGAAACAUGUAGGCUUCUCUGUGUCUUCUGAAGAACUGCCAAUGCCUCACCCACCUCUGGCCAGAGGACUCUGGAAAACUUGCGUUUCUGGUAUGUAUAGAAAAGCGACAUGCUAAGCCGCAAAGCCGCCCCCUUCAAGACGCAGCACACGCAAGGCUCACCCUGCCACGAGCACUGGUACCGGCUCACUUUCCGCUCUGCUCGGCGGGACUCCGGCCAGGCCCAGCGUGCAGCUGCAGAAAGGUUUAGAGUGAGGCUUCCACUUCACUCUCCGGUCCAAGAGUUAUACUAUCUGGUGGAAGUGUUUCUUUUUCCUUUUUUGGACAGUUAAGCUACAGCGAUGGGCCAACUGGCACCAGUGUGGAGAGACAGGUAUUCCUCACUUUGUGGCACCAACGUGGUUCUGGCAAAGUGGCCUCUUUUCCAGUAAAACAGUCUUCUCCCCUCCCUCGCCUUCCAUUUUAGGACCAGUGGUUUGUCCCUGGGGAAGCAACCCCAAUUACAGCCAGCUUUGCCAUCUGUGGAAAUAGCCUGGUCACCAGAGGCACAGAAGCCAGAUGCGUGGCCAUGCCGGCGGCAGCACCCGCGGCAGCACCCGGGGCAGCCCCUGCCCCCGACCCAUGAAUCUCAGUGUCCCCCAGGCCGCCCACGUCCCACUCUGCCCAGCCUACACCACCUCCCUCACCGCAAAGUGCCCGCUCUGCAGCUCCAUGCCCCUGCCCAGUGGAGCCUCAGCCCCGUCCCACCUGCAGCAUGCCCAGCCCAAGUGCCCGAAACCCAGAGCCUCGGACUCAGGGCAAAAGGAAGCCGCCCCAUUCCACCACAUCAGGGUCUCCACUGUGCUUAUUUAGAGCAGAGCACAACUCUCCUUGCGUCUGAGUCCCUUCACACAGGUGACUGAGAGGCUCAGGACAGAGCAUUGCAGGGGAGACAGAGGAGGGGCUCGGCCUCGCCAAGCAGCUGGCUCUAUUCAUUUAGCAGAACCGCUGCCCCACCCCCUCCCAGCCCCUGCACGGAGGGAGGCCACUGGGGCCGGCCCGUCCCCAACUUCUAUUUUGUUUUCGCCAGAGCCGCCUCCAGACUCCCUCUUCACAUUUUAUGUCAACUCUGGGGCCCUGCUGGCUGAAAGUGAGUUCUGUUUUCCGGCAGCCCUGUGGCUUUUGGACUCGGCCUUGAAAUUAGUUCAUGGCGACCCAGGCACACAUCGCGCUGGGAAGCCACGUGGGAGCCGUGCGGGUG